AUGUCGAUGAGAUACCUCGUCAUGUCAGCUGCUGUAGAUAGUGCACGGAAGAGGUGCAGCUGUGGCAGCUCCAAAUGGCAGAACUUGAGCACCAAAUGCCUGAACUUAAAGUGCGGUUGUUUCAAGGCUGGUGUGCAUUGCAUGCAUGGGCGAUGCAAGUGCAAGGGCUGCGAGAACAAUCCGUAUGACCUGGCCUAUGAGGGUGGCAAGGGGUGCACGUGCAAAUCCAACAAAUGCAAAAUCAUGACCUGUGGUUGCCGGGAGCGCGGGGCCAGGUGCACCUUAGAAUGCAGUUGCCAAGGGUGCGAAAAUGGAAAAGGGACCGGAGGGGAAUCAGCCGAUAAGUCCAAUGCUGGACCAGGCGGGCAGGGAGGUACCAUCAGCAGCGGCGAGGCCGUCGAACCGUCCAGCAAACGGCCAAAACUCAAGGAAUUGUUGCCCUCAUCGGUUGUCGUCCAUACUCGUUCUUAUGCAUACAUACUUGCUGCAAAUGAUUUCUCUCUUAUAAACUUUAGGAAUUUUCUGGUGGUGUUUGUAAUCCAAACUGGUAUGCGUAGACAAAGAGGCCCUGGUGGCAUUGUUUCCGCAUUGCGUUACAUAUUCUCAUGA
rnacentral:rRNA from 1 species